rnacentral:lncRNA from 1 species
GUAUUUUCCUGUGGAAUUUAAUACCUGGCAUUGUGAACCAUGGUGGGCCUGCUGUUGACGCCCAGAGGAAUCAGGGAGCCUAACUAUGUGGAGGACAGGAUGGAAAGAGUGGAACGAUGGAGAAGACAAGUUCCAAGUUUCCAAACUUCAAAGAUUCAUCAAUUUCAGGACAAUAACCAGGACAGUGCGAGAGAGAACAUCUUCUCAGAUAAAAGGCCUGUUAAAAGCAGACUGGAUCUAAGAAUUGAUUUGCUCAUCAGCCUAUGCGUCAUGGUGGCCCGUGGGGCAUGA